rnacentral:rRNA from 1 species
ACGCACGCUGGCGGCGUGCUUCACCCCUGCCCGUCGAACGGAAAGGCCCUGCUUUUGUGGGGUGCUCGAGUGGCGAACGGGUGAGUAACACGUGAGUAACCUGCCCUUGACUUUGGGAUAACUUCAGGAAACUGGGGCUAAUACCGGAUAGGAGCUCCUGCUGCAUGGUGGGGGUUGGAAAGUUUCGGCGGUUGGGGAUGGACUCGCGGCUUAUCAGCUUGUUGGUGGGGUAGUGGCUUACCAAGGCUUUGACGGGUAGCCGGCCUGAGAGGGUGACCGGCCACAUUGGGACUGAGAUACGGCCCAGACUCCUACGGGAGGCAGCAGUGGGGAAUAUUGCACAAUGGGCGGAAGCCUGAUGCAGCAACGCCGCGUGCGGGAUGACGGCCUUCGGGUUGUAAACCGCUUUCGCCUGUGACGAAGCGUGAGUGACGGUAAUGGGUAAAGAAGCACCGGCUAACUACGUG